GUCCGCUCUCUGUUCAUUACAUUAUUUAUUCUCGGAUGUAUUUUAAUUAUUCUCAUCUGAUUCUAAAUGAAAGCUGCAGGGAGUACAUGGUUAAAAGCAUUUCUUGGUCAAGGGAUUUUCACGUCUGAGAAUCACAAAAAACAAUAGUUAAUGAACUUUGAUCGGAAAGAAAAUAACAACAUAACCUUCCAACUGUCUAAAUGGGAUGAGUGGUUUUAAUUCAUUUAAACACAAUUCGCAUUCUUCUCUUCUGCAAUUGUAAUAACACUGUCACAUACGUGGGACCCGACUCGUCUGAUCUGUUCUCUUUCGACAAGAUCAGCUAAAAAUUUUCUUACAACUUUAUAAUACACUGGGGCCAAAUGUUAAGGUAUUCCUGGUACUGCUGGCAUCGUGUGGCCUCGAAAUGUGGUUAUGUGCAUAGCAAGGAAGCCGAUGAAGCAGCGUAGGGACAAAGGAGUAUUGCGCAGGAGGAGUAGUGCGCAGUUAUUCACGCGUGGAUAUUGCGUAAUAGGUUCCACGCCGCUGAGUGUUUAAGUUUGGAUAUCUUGACAAUGGGAUCAAAGCUAUGUCCAAAAUAUAUCUUAUCUCCAAGCCCCUGUGUAAUGUACUCUAAGUAAAAGAAUUAAUCACACACAAAUUAACCCAGAAAAAUCUGCCCGCUGCGCGUUUUCAUAUUCUGAUUUUUCUACGUAAUUAAAUGUGUAUAGUGAAAGAUUAAGGUGCUUCCUCAGAC